rnacentral:rRNA from 1 species
UGAGUACGAGCUGCUACGGCAGCGAAGUGGGUGACGUCAAGCUUCCAAGAAAAGCCCUAUACCCGUUAAGGCAUGACGGCCUGUACCCGAAACCGACACAGGUGGGGUGGUAGAGAAUACCGAGGGGCGCGAGGUAACUCUCUCUAAGGAACUCGGCAAAAUGGCCCCGUAACUUCGGGAGAAGGGGUGCCACCGCAAGGUGGUCGCAGUGAAGAGGCCCAGGCGACUGUUUACCAAAAACACAGGUCUCCGCUAAGUCGCAAGACGAUGUAUGGGGGCUGACGCCUGCCCAGUGCCGGAAGGUUAAGGAAGCUGGUCAGCGUAAGCGAAGCUGGCGACUGAAGCCCCGGUGAACGGCGGCCGUAACUAUAACGGUCCUAAGGUAGCGAAAUUCCUUGUCGGGUAAGUUCCGACCCGCACGAAAGGCGUAACGAUCUGGGCGCUGUCUCGGAGAGAGGCUCGGCGAAAUAGAAUUGUCUGUGAAGAUGCGGACUACGUGCACCCGGACAGAAAGACCCUAUGAAGCUUUACUGUAGCUUGGUAUUGUGCCCGGGCUCUGAAUGCGCAGGAUAGGUGGGAGGCUUUGAUCCAUUGCUUGUGGGUGAUGGUGAGCCAACGGUGAGAUACCACUCUUUCAGAGCUAGGGUACUAACGGUCACCCGUCAUCCGGGGACCGGACAGUAUCAGGUGGGCAGUUUGACUGGGGCGGUCGCCUCCUAAAAGGUAACGGAGGCGCGCAAAGGUUUGCUCAGGCUGGUUGGAAAUCAGCCGACGAGUGUAAAAGCAGAAGCAAGCUUGACUGUGAGACCUACAAGUCGAACAGGGACGAAAGUCGGCUUUAGUGAUCCGACGGUUCUGAGUGGAAGGGCCGUCGCUCAACGGAUAGAAGUUACUCUAAGGAUAACAGGCUGAUCUCCCCCAAGAGUUCACAUCGACGGGGAGGUUUGGCACCUCGAUGUCGGCUCAUCGCAACCUGGGGCUGAAGUCGGUCCCAAGGGUUGGGCUGUUCGCCCAUUAAAGCGGUACGCGAGCUGGGUUCAGAACGUCGUGAGACAGUUCGGUCCAUAUCCGGUGCAUGCGCAGGAAUAUUGAGAGGAUUUCUCCCUAGUACGAGAGGACCGGGAGGAACGCACCUCUGGUGUGCCAGUUAUCGUGCCAACGGUAAACGCUGGGUAGCCAUGUGCGGAGAGGAUAACCGCUGAAAGCAUCUAAGUGGGAAGCCCACCUCAAGAUGAGUAUUCCCAUGGCGUUAGCCAGUAAGGUCACGGGAAGAACACCCGUUGAUAGGCUCUACGUGGAAGCCGGGUAACCGGUGAAGCGGAGGAGUACUAAUAGACCGAGGGCUUGACC